rnacentral:rRNA from 1 species
GAUGAACGCUGGCGGCGUGCUUAACACAUGCAAGUCGAACGAUGAUGCCCAGCUUGCUGUGUUGAUUAGUGGCCAACGGGUGAGUAACACGUGAGUAACCUGCCCUUCACUCUGGGUUAAACCUGUGCAACUGGCUCUAAUACCGGCUACGACCUUCUGUCGCCUGUAUUGGUCGUGGAAAGCUUUUGUGGUUUUGGAUGGACUCGCGGCCUAUCAGCUUGUUGGUGGGGUAAUGGCCUACCAAGGCGACGACGGGUAGCCGGCCUGAGAGGGUGACCGGGCACACUGGGACUGAGACACGGCCCAGACUCCUACGGGAGGCAGAAGUGGGGAAUAUUGCAAAAUGGGCGCAAGCCUGAGGCAGCGACGCCGCGUGAGGGAUGACGGCCUUCGGGUUGUAAACCUCUUUCAGUAGGGAAGAAGCGAAAGUGACGGUACCUGCAGAAGAAGCGCCGGCUAACUACGUG